UACGGAGGGAGCUAGCGUUGUUCGGAAUUACUGGGCGUAAAGCGUAGCGUAGGCGGUUAUUCAAGUCAGAGGUGAAAGCCCGGGGCUCAACCCCGGAACUGCCUUUGAAACUAGAUAGCUAGAAUCUUGGAGAGGUCAGUGGAAUUCCGAGUGUAGAGGUGAAAUUCGUAGAUAUUCGGAAGAACACCAGUGGCGAAGGCGGACUGACUGGACAAGUAUUGACGCUGAGGUACGAAAGCGUGGGGAGCAAACAGG
rnacentral:rRNA from 1 species